rnacentral:rRNA from 1 species
GACAAACGCUGGCGGCGUGCCUAACACAUGCAAGUCGAACGGAGAUAGAAUCAAAACUUGUUUUGGAUUUAUCUUAGUGGCGGACGGGUGAGUAACGCGUGGGCAACCUGCCUUUUACCGUGGGACAACAUCGGGAAACCGGUGCUAAUACCGCAUAACAUAUGAUCUUGACAUCAAGGACAUAUCAAAGGAAUCAAAUCCGGUAAAAGAUGGGCCCGCGUCUGAUUAGAUAGUUGGUGAGGUAACGGCUCACCAAGUCGACGAUCGGUAGCCGGACUGAGAGGUUGAACGGCCACAUUGGGACUGAGAUACGGCCCAGACUCCUACGGGAGGCAGCAGUGGGGAAUAUUGGGCAAUGGGGGAAACCCUGACCCAGCAACGCCGCGUGAAGGAUGAAGGUUUUCGGAUUGUAAACUUCUUUGAUCAGGGACGAAACAAAUGACGGUACCUGAAGAACAAGCCACGGCUAACUACGUG